rnacentral:rRNA from 1 species
AUUGAACGCUGGCGGCAGGCCUAACACAUGCAAGUCGAACGAGUGGCGGACGGGUGAGUAAUGUCUGGGAAACUGCACGAUGGAGGGGGAUAACUACUGGAAACGGUAGCUAAUAACGCGUACAAUCGGAUGUUCCCAGAUGGGAUUAGCUUGUAGGUGAGGUAACGGCUCACCUAGGCGACGAUCCCUAGCUGGUCUGAGAGGAGGACCAGCCAAAGUGGAACUGAGACACGGUCCAUAAUCCUACGGGAGGCAGCAGUGGGGAAUAUGGGACAAUGGGCGCAAGCCUGAUGCAGCCAUGCCGCGUGUAUGAAGAAGGCCUGUGGGUUGUAAAGUACUUUCAGCGGGGAGGCGUUACCCGCAGAAGAAGCACCUGCUAACUCCGUGCCAGCAGCCGCUGUAAUAC